rnacentral:lncRNA from 1 species
AUUGUACUUCAAUAGCAUUCAAGUUAACUUUGAAUGUUCUGUUUCGAGCAAGAGGUGCCUUAAUUAUCAAUCUUUGUCUUUCAUCAUAGACCUCAAUGUUUCUUUUCUGCAGAUUCAUAGUAUAUCCUUUUUCAAGAAGCUGACCAAGGCUCUAAAGAUUGCUUUUCAUAGUGGGCACAUAGAAGACGUUGUGCAUGUACACUGGUUUGUCAUCCUUCCGUGUAAUCAACACCUUACCUGAACCUUCUGCUCGAAUUACACUAUCAUCUGCAAAGCGAACAAUGCUCUUGACACUGGUGUCUAAGUUAAUCAAUCAUCUCUUAUUCCCCGUCAUAUGGUUAGAACAUGUUGAGUCAAGAUACCACGACAUUUCCUCCAGUUCAUUAUCUGUUUCUCCAGCCAAUGACACAUGUUCCGCUUGAGCAGUGUUCUUUGACACCUCCUUCUUUGCAUGUUUUGCUUCUCCACCCGAUGACACAUGUUCCUCCUGGGCAAUAUUCUUAGCACACUUGUCUUUGUUUCUGCUGGUCGUGAUUUGCAUGUAAUCAUCACGUGUUGUUAUCCAUUUACCAUCGUUCUUUUUAUUUGUAACCAUACUCAUUAAGGCAAUAUGAUCCGAAUCUGAGACAAGUUCUUCCUUCGCAAGAUUCACUUCAUUUCUUUGUUCUUUCUUGGCAUUGUCAUUGUGCCAGCAUUCAGACGAAUAAUGGCCAUAUUUAUUGCAAGUAAAACACUGUAUAUUCCUCUUGUCAGGAUUUUUUCUGCCGCCUCUGCCUUUGGGCUUCCCUCUACCUCUGCAACUGCUUUGUUCAUUGCUUUCAACAUCUUUGUUUUGUUCUUCACCGCAUCUACCUCCAAUUCUGCCUCCACGACCGCCGCAAGAUCUUCCUCUGCCUCUGCCCGUCUCACGAUACUUAUAAGUCUUGGUUUGCAGAGCGUGAUUGGUGUUUUGUACAGUUUCUUGUUCUGCAGUUUUCCUCUCCAACAGUCAUUGUUUGUGGACUUCAAGUGAGUUUUGUAACUUUUCAACUUUCA